GGCAGUUCUCAGAUGAUGCACCUUGGAAUCGGGCUCCCUCCUCUGGUUCUGGGCACGUCACCUGAGAACCGCA
rfam:Myotis davidii contig96720, whole genome shotgun sequence.